UACGAAGGGGGCUAGCGUUGCUCGGAAUUACUGGGCGUAAAGGGCGCGUAGGCGGACAGUUUAGUCAGAGGUGAAAGCCCAGGGCUCAACCUUGGAAUGGCCUUUGAUACUGGCUGUCUUGAGUUCGGGAGAGGUGAGUGGAAUGCCGAGUGUAGAGGUGAAAUUCGUAGAUAUUCGGCGGAACACCAGUGGCGAAGGCGACUCACUGGCCCGAUACUGACGCUGAGGCGCGAAAGCGUGGGGAGCAAACAGG
rnacentral:rRNA from 1 species